GGGGAGCUGGGGUAAGUGAUCAAGCAUUCCUAACAUGUGCCUCCUGCUGUUUUGUUGGACAGUUCUCCACAUGCCUGUAAUUCAGCUGCCUGGAAACAGGUUCUGCUGAGCCACUGCAGGGCACCAACACAUUCACUGCCAGAGAUGGGUGCAGAUAGAGGAAAGCAACUGCAAACUUGCCAGCAGGUCUCAGAAGCGGCCCUUCUGAAGCUGGAGGUCAUUUCCUGGUGAAAAAAGUACAAAAGCAACCCCUAGUGUUCCCUCGGCCUCCUUGCACCACCCAGGCCAAGGCACUGUCUUUUCUCAGUAGCCUUCCCCAGCUCAGUAGGGUAUUAGGAGACUGAAAGUUUUGGUUUUAAUUUAAUGCAGCCCUUGAAGUAAGGGUGGCUGCUCAGAGCGCUGUGCAUUGCACUCAGACAGCAGAAGUCUUACAGGAAUUCAUUUUGAUCAAAAAAAGGGUUUGGGCUGAAAUACGUUUCAUUUGUCAUGUCUGUGGCCUUCUGUUCUUCAUACAACAUCAGAAUUAGAAAUCAUCCC
rnacentral:lncRNA from 1 species